UACGUAGGGUGCAAGCGUUAAUCGGAAUUACUGGGCGUAAAGCGUGCGCAGGCGGUUUUGUAAGUCUGUCGUGAAAUCCCCGGGCUCAACCUGGGAAUUGCGAUGGAGACUGCAAGGCUUGAAUCUGGCAGAGGGGGGUAGAAUUCCACGUGUAGCAGUGAAAUGCGUAGAGAUGUGGAGGAACACCGAUGGCGAAGGCAGCCCCCUGGGUCAAGAUUGACGCCCAUGCACGAAAGCGUGGGGAGCAAACAGG
rnacentral:rRNA from 1 species